AAAAUAAAUAAUGGCGGCGCACUCGUGCUGACCUUGUUCGGCUUCGGUCCUACCGCCGCCGCGUCGUGCGAGGAGAAGAAUCGAACCGCUUCCCUUCCCCACCCCUUGACGGCCUCUCCGGAGUAUUCCCUCCACUGCACCGGUCUCGCGUCGUCUCCCCUCUCUCUCUCCGUCUCCGACUCCGCCAGCGAGUCCUGGAUUCCCGCAUGGACGCCGGCGGAGGUGCGGAGGCCGCCGCCAACGGCGGGAUCGAGGGCUCCGCCGACCCCUGCAGCUCAGGCACCGCCGGUGGGCACAGGUUCUCGGUCCACCAGAUCGCCGGCGGCGGGAAAGGUUAGCACAGCCAAAGCAUGCGCGACUACAGGCAAUGGUGUGAUAGCCUAUUAUAGGGGUUCGGAAGCUAUGGUACUGUGUUGGGAUGUGGAUUUCAGGACUUGCAAUCAUGGAAUAUCAGAAUAGCGCGCUGUUUUGAUUGAAAUUCUGGUUGUUAUGAACUCAAUCAGGUUGUUAUGCACUGAAUUGGACUUGAUGCUUGAUUGGUGAAAUGGGGAACACAUUCAGAUGAAAGAUUAGUAAUCUGCUGAUAUCAUCUUAUGGAGGCGAGGGCGUGUUACAUUUGGUGUUAUAUUUGGUGCUACUUUGGCAUGGUUGUUGUUUGAGAAGUCCAGACUGUCAUUCUUGACUAUCUGCUGUGAUAUAUUUCUCAUCUUAAUAAUUGUGCAGUUCCUAAGGGUUAAAAUAGCUGGAUUGCUAAAUAGGCAGCCUAGGUCACUACCUGAGUUAGUUUUAUCAGAGGAGAUGGUUAGCAACGCUGCAUCUUCAUUCCGCGUCAAAGUCAACAACAUGCUAAUGAUAGCGCAUGACAUUACUCUCGGCAAAGACUUCCGGCUCUUUUUCCAGGUUGUGCUUGUACUUUGGCUAUUAUCUGUACUAGGCAAUUUCUUCUCUUCUAUCACUCUUGCUUAUGUAGGAACCAUUGCUUUGGUCACAAUACCUGCAUUGUACAACAAAUACCAGGGGCACGUUGAUAGGUAUGCGGGAAUGGUCCACCGGAACAUAUCAAGGCAGUACAAGAUAGUUGACGAAAAUGUGAUCAGUAGACUACCGAGAAGCUUUAUCAGAGAUAAAGAAGACUGAUACUUGAAUGAAGCUAGUCAAGUAAUUUUGUUACCAUAAGCAGGGAGAAACUAAAGAUUUAGGAAAAUAGGAAAAGAAAGCCUGCUGUAGAUACCGUUGCAAUGUACUCUUGAGCAAUAAGGUUUGUGACGAAAAGCAUGCAGAAAUUUGUAACUAGUUGUACAGCUUUCGGUCAGCUUUUUUGCAACAAACUGGGCAAAAGGUCGUUGUGUAACCCAAGCAGUUACCAUUGGAAUGUGAAAUGAAGUGGUUUGCAUAA